rnacentral:rRNA from 1 species
CGGGAGCCUUCACAGGUGCUGCAUGGCUGUCGUCAGCUCGUGUCGUGAGAUGUCCGGUUAAGUCCGGUAACGAGCGCAACCCUCGCUGUGUGUUAUAUGUGUCACACGGGACUGCCGGUAUCAAGCCGGAGGAAGGUGGGGAUGACGUCAAGUCAGCAUGGCCUUUAUGUCUGGGGCUACACGACACGCUACAAUGGCCAGUACAAUAGGUUGCAAGACCGCGAGGUGGAGCCAAUCCAUAAAGCUGGUCUCAGUUCGGAUUGCAGGCUGCAACUCGCCUGCAUGAAGUCGGAGUUGCUAGUAACCGCGCGUCAGCUAUAGUGCGGUGAAUACGUUCCCGGGCCUU